GACAAACGCUGGCGGCGUACCUAAGACAUGCAAGUCGAACGGUUCUUUUCGCUUCGGCGGGAGGGAUAGUGGCGGAUGGGUGAGUAACGCGUAGGAACCUAUCGCACAGUGGGGGAUACCGCUGGGAAACCGGCGCUAAUACCGCAUGUGGUUCCCUGGUGAGAGCCGGGGAAAGAAAGCACGAUGAGUGCGCUGGGUGAGGGGCCUGCGUCCGAUUAGCUAGUUGGUGGGGUAAGGGCCUACCAAGGCGACGAUCGGUAGCUGGUCUGAGAGGACG
rnacentral:rRNA from 1 species